rnacentral:rRNA from 1 species
UACGUAGGGUGCGAGCGUUAAUCGGAAUUACUGGGCGUAAAGCGUGCGCAGGCGGUUUGCUAAGACAGGUGUGAAAUCCCCGGGUUUAACCUGGGAACUGCGCUUGUGACUGGCAGGCUAGAGUACGGCAGAGGGGGGUGGAAUUCCUGGUGUAGCAGUGAAAUGCGUAGAUAUCAGGAGGAACACCGAUGGCGAAGGCAGCCCCCUGGGCCUGUACUGACGCUCAUGCACGAAAGCGUGGGGAGCAAACAGGAUUAGAUACCCG